AGCAGCACAAUGAGAGCCACCAUGCUCAAGGCCCUCCAGCAGGCCAACCAGACCAUCUCUGAGAUCCGAGAGACUCAGCUCUGGUGAAUGGCACGCCCCGUGCCCGCUGCCCUCAGUCUGCCGAACCCUUGAGGGUAGAGCUGCCAGCUUAGAGUUUUGCCGACCUCACACCAGACUCGGCUGUUUCUCUCCUACCUGUCCGUUCUGUACAUUUUCUUCAUGAUCCAGUUUAACAAUUGUGAAGGAGAUUAUAAA